rnacentral:rRNA from 1 species
AGAGUUUGAUCAUGGCUCAGAACGAACGUUGGCGGCGUGGAUCAGGCAUGCAAGUCGUACGAUCCCAGCAAUGGGAGAGUGGCGUAAGGGGCAGUAAGGCAUGGGCAACCUACCCCCCGGACCGGCAUAGCCGGCCUAACGGCCGGGUAAUACUGGGCAACAUCCUUUAGGGGCAUCCCUUUCGGAUCAGACGGGCACCCGCCGGGGGCGGGACUCAUGUGCUAUUAGCUGGUUGGCGGGGUAACGGCCCACCAAGGCAAAGAUGGCUAGCGGGUGUGAGAGCACGACCCGCGCCACUGGCACUGAGACACUGGCCAGACUCCUACGGGAGGCUGCAGUCGAGGAUCUUUGGCAAUGAGCGCAAGCUUGACCAAGCGACGCCGCGUGGACGACGAAGGCCUUCGGGUUGUAAAGUCCAAAAGGGGGAAACAAGGGUAACUUGAGUGCACCCCAGUAAGCACGGGCUAAGUUCGUGCCAGCAGCCGCGGUAAUAC